UUAAGUUAUUAAGGGCGCACGGUGGAUGCCUUGGCACUAGAAGCCGAUGAAGGACGUUACUAACGACGAUAUGCUUUGGGGAGCUGUAAGUAAGCUUUGAUCCAGAGAUUUCCGAAUGGGGAAACCCAGCAUGAGUUAUGUCAUGUUAUCGAUAUGUGAAUACAUAGCAUAUNNNNNNNNNNNNNNNNNNNNNNNAGAAGGCACACCCGGAGAACUGAAACAUCUUAGUACCCGGAGGAAGAGAAAGAAAAUUCGAUUCCCUUAGUAGCGGCGAGCGAAACGGGAAGAGCCCAAACCAACAAGCUUGCUUGUUGGGGUUGUAGGACACUCUAUACGGAGUUACAAAGGACGACAUUAGACGAAUCAUCUGGAAAGAUGAAUCAAAGAAGGUAAUAAUCCUGUAGUCGAAAAUGUUGUCUCUCUUGAGUGGAUCCUGAGUACGACGGAGCACGUGAAAUUCCGUCGGAAUCUGGGAGGACCAUCUCCUAAGGCUAAAUACUCUCUAGUGACCGAUAGUGAACCAGUACCGUGAGGGAAAGGUGAAAAGCACCCCGGAAGGGGAGUGAAAUAGAACCUGAAACCGUGUGCUUACAAGUAGUCAGAGCCCGUUAAUGGGUGAUGGCGUGCCUUUUGUAGAAUGAACCGGCGAGUUACGAUUUGAUGCAAGGUUAAGCAGUAAAUGUGGAGCCGUAGCGAAAGCGAGUCUGAAUAGGGCGUUUAGUAUUUGGUCGUAGACCCGAAACCAGGUGAUCUACCCUUGGUCAGGUUGAAGUUCAGGUAACACUGAAUGGAGGACCGAACCGACUUACGUUGAAAAGUGAGCGGAUGAACUGAGGGUAGCGGAGAAAUUCCAAUCGAACCUGGAGAUAGCUGGUUCUCUCCGAAAUAGCUUUAGGGCUAGCCUCAAGUGAUGAUUAUUGGAGGUAGAGCACUGUUUGGACGAGGGGCCCCUCUCGGGUUACCGAAUUCAGACAAACUCCGAAUGCCAAUUAAUUUAACUUGGGAGUCAGAACAUGGGUGAUAAGGUCCGUGUUCGAAAGGGAAACAGCCCAGACCACCAGCUAAGGUCCCAAAAUAUAUGUUAAGUGGAAAAGGAUGUGGCGUUGCCCAGACAACUAGGAUGUUGGCUUAGAAGCAGCCAUCAUUUAAAGAGUGCGUAAUAGCUCACUAGUCGAGUGACACUGCGCCGAAAAUGUACCGGGGCUAAACAUAUUACCGAAGCUGUGGAUUGUCCUUUGGACAAUGGUAGGAGAGCGUUCUAAGGGCGUUGAAGCAUGAUCGUAAGGACAUGUGGAGCGCUUAGAAGUGAGAAUGCCGGUGUGAGUAGCGAAAGACGGGUGAGAAUCCCGUCCACCGAUUGACUAAGGUUUCCAGAGGAAGGCUCGUCCGCUCUGGGUUAGUCGGGUCCUAAGCUGAGGCCGACAGGCGUAGGCGAUGGAUAACAGGUUGAUAUUCCUGUACCACCUAUAAUCGUUUUAAUCGAUGGGGGGNGGGGGGACGCAGUAGGAUAGGCGAAGCGUGCGAUUGGAUUGCACGUCUAAGCAGUAAGGCUGAGUAUUAGGCAAAUCCGGUACUCGUUAAGGCUGAGCUGUGAUGGGGAGAAGACAUUGUGUCUUCGAGUCGUUGAUUUCACACUGCCGAGAAAAGCCUCUAGAUAGAAAAUAGGUGCCCGUACCGCAAACCGACACAGGUAGUCAAGAUGAGAAUUCUAAGGUGAGCGAGCGAACUCUCGUUAAGGAACUCGGCAAAAUGACCCCGUAACUUCGGGAGAAGGGGUGCUCUUUAGGGUUAACGCCCAGAAGAGCCGCAGUGAAUAGGCCCAAGCGACUGUUUAUCAAAAACACAGGUCUCUGCUAAACCGUAAGGUGAUGUAUAGGGGCUGACGCCUGCCCGGUGCUGGAAGGUUAAGAGGAGUGGUUAGCUUCUGCGAAGCUACGAAUCGAAGCCCCAGUAAACGGCGGCCGUAACUAUAACGGUCCUAAGGUAGCGAAAUUCCUUGUCGGGUAAGUUCCGACCCGCACGAAAGGCGUAACGAUUUGGGCACUGUCUCAACGAGAGACUCGGUGAAAUCAUAGUACCUGUGAAGAUGCAGGUUACCCGCGACAGGACGGAAAGACCCCGUGGAGCUUUACUGUAGCCUGAUAUUGAAAUUCGGCACAGCUUGUACAGGAUAGGUAGGAGCCUUUGAAACGUGAGCGCUAGCUUACGUGGAGGCGCUGGUGGGAUACUACCCUAGCUGUGUUGGCUUUCUAACCCGCACCACUUAUCGUGGUGGGAGACAGUGUCAGGCGGGCAGUUUGACUGGGGCGGUCGCCUCCUAAAAGGUAACGGAGGCGCUCAAAGGUUCCCUCAGAAUGGUUGGAAAUCAUUCAUAGAGUGUAAAGGCAUAAGGGAGCUUGACUGCGAGACCUACAAGUCGAGCAGGGUCGAAAGACGGACUUAGUGAUCCGGUGGUUCCGCAUGGAAGGGCCAUCGCUCAACGGAUAAAAGCUACCCCGGGGAUAACAGGCUUAUCUCCCCCAAGAGUUCACAUCGACGGGGAGGUUUGGCACCUCGAUGUCGGCUCAUCGCAUCCUGGGGCUGUAGUCGGUCCCAAGGGUUGGGCUGUUCGCCCAUUAAAGCGGUACGCGAGCUGGGUUCAGAACGUCGUGAGACAGUUCGGUCCCUAUCCGUCGUGGGCGUAGGAAAUUUGAGAGGAGCUGUCCUUAGUACGAGAGGACCGGGAUGGACAUACCUCUGGUGUACCAGUUGUCGUGCCAACGGCAUAGCUGGGUAGCUAUGUGUGGACGGGAUAAGUGCUGAAAGCAUCUAAGCAUGAAGCCCCCCUCAAGAUGAGAUUUCCCAACUUCGGUUAUAAGAUCCCUCAAAGAUGAUGAGGUUAAUAGGUUCGAGGUGGAAGCAUGGUGACAUGUGGAGCUGACGAAUACUAAUCGAUCGAAGACUUAAUCAA
rnacentral:rRNA from 1 species